UUGUGCAGCACAACAUGGUGGGGACCUGGUGGGGCCGUGGCCUUGGCCUCUGGGUCAAUGGGCAAUGCAGUUAUUGAUCGUUUAAGUGAGAUGGGCAGAUAGGGGUCUGUUAUAAGCAGAGGAAUAGAAUCAAGUUUUGUUUUGUAGCAGAGCUCCCUCAUAAGAGUCACUGGACAAGGAUGAGGUUAGAAGUUCUGCCCAGAAUGAGGGCAGGGGCUUCCUUCUUGGGCCAAAUUCACUGCCUUGUGGCUGCAGGUGGACGUAUUGGUGACCACAGCUGGCGGCGUGGAGGAAGACCUCAUCAAGUGCCUGGCGCCCACAUACUUGGGCGAGUUUAGCCUCAGGGGGAAGGAGCUCCGGGAGAACGGGAUCAAUAGGAUCGGAAACCUGCUGGUGCCCAAUGACAAUUACUGCAAGUUUGAGGACUGGCUGAUGCCCAUUCUGGACCAGAUGGUGAUGGAGCAGAACACAGAGGUGGGGCUGGGGCAACCUGGAGCGGCCAGUCCAGUGGGAGUCAGGGGAGGCAUGGCCUGAAGCUCACAUCCUCUCCUAGGGUGUAAAGUGGACGCCUUCUAAGAUGAUCGCCCGGCUGGGCAAGGAGAUCAACAACCCAGAGUCCGUGUAUUACUGGGCCC
rnacentral:sRNA from 1 species